rnacentral:lncRNA from 1 species
AAUAUGUGUUUUGAAAUUUGAGCAUUUCUUUUCUUACUUAUCCCAUAACUUAUCCUUUAGAUGCUAUGGUGAAUAAGAGGACUUGUUUUUUCUUUCCUAGUCUAAUCCCCUCCCUACGAACUAUAGCAAACAAUUGUAAGACACAUUUACCCAAUUCUUUUCUUGCCUAGGACGGGAGUCGUCAUCAUUGAUGGUCUUUCUUGAAGAAUGGUUCCCCCAGGUGGUUCAUCAAUCCUCCUUCAAGCUAGGGGAUGGCUGGUUGGGAAGGUCU